rnacentral:rRNA from 1 species
GAUGAACGCUGGCGGCGUGCCUAAUACAUGCAAGUCGAGCGAACGGACGAGAAGCUUGCUUCUCUGAUGUUAGCGGCGGACGGGUGAGUAACACGUGGAUAACCUCCCUAUACGACUGGGAUAACUUCGGGAAACCGUAGCUAAUACCGGAUAAUCUUUUGAACCGCAUGGUUCAAUAGUGAAAGACGGUCUUGCUGUCACUUAUAGAUGGAUCCGCGCUGCAUUAGCUAGUUGGUAAGGUAACGGCUUACCAAGGCAACGAUGCAUGGCCGACCUGAGAGGGGGAUCGGCCACACGGGAACUGAGACACGGUCCAGACUCCUACGGGAGGCAGCAGUAGGGAAUCUUCCGCAAUGGGCGAAAGCCUGACGGAGCAACGCCGCGUGAGUGAUGAAGGUCUUCGGAUCGUAAAACUCUGUUAUUAGGGAAGAACAUAUGUGUAAGUAACUGUGCACAUCGUGACGGUACCUAAUCAGAAAGCCACGGCUAACUACGUG